rnacentral:rRNA from 1 species
GACGAAUGCUGGCUGCGUGCUUAACACAUGCAAGUCGAACGGUGAAGGGGAGCUUGCUCCCCGGAUCAGUGGCGAACGGGUGAGUAACACGUGGGCAACCUGCCCCUCACUCUGGGAUAACUCCGGGAAACCGGGGCUAAUACCGGAUACGACUGGGCACGACAUCGCCCCGGGGGGAAAGAACUUCGGUGAGGGAUGGGCCGGCGGCCUAUCAGCUAGUUGGUGGGGUAACGGCCCACCAAGGCGACGACGGGUAGCCGGCCUGAGAGGGCGACCGGCCACACUGGGACUGAGACACGGCCCAGACUCCUACGGGAGGCAGCAGUGGGGAAUAUUGCGCAAUGGGCGAAAGCCUGACGCAGCGACGCAGCGUGAGGGACGAAGGCCUUCGGGUUGUAAACCUCUUUCAGCGGGGACGAAGCGAAAGUGACGGUACCCGCAGAAGAAGCACCGGCUAACUACGUGCCAGCCGCCGCAGUAAGAC